AUACGUAGGGUGCGAGCGUCGUCCGGAAUUACUGGGCGUAAAGAGCUCGUAGGUGGUUUGUCGCGUCGUCUGUGAAAUUCCGGGGCUUAACUCCUGGCGUGCAGGCGAUACGGGCAUAACUUGAGUACUGUAGGGGAGACUGGAAUUCCUGGUGUAGCGGUGAAAUGCGCAGAUAUCAGGAGGAACACCGGUGGCGAAGGCGGGUCUCUGGGCAGUAACUGACGCUGAGGAGCGAAAGCAUGGGUAGCGAACAGGAUUAGAUACCCUGGUAGUCCAUGCCGUAAACGGUGGGCGCUAGGUGUAGGGGUCUUCCACGACUUCUGUGCCGUAGCUAACGCAUUAAGCGCCCCGCCUGGGGAGUACGGCCGCAAGGCUAAAACUCAAAGGAAUUGACGGGG
rnacentral:rRNA from 1 species